AAUUAAUAAGUUUUAAGAAACAUAUAUUUUGAAAAUAUAAAAAAGAAGUUAAAAUCUUCUAUUAAUUU
rnacentral:tRNA from 1 species